GACGUAGGGCGCGAGCGUUGUCCGGAAUUACUGGGUGUAAAGCGCGCGUAGGCGGUAGGCCAAGUCUGCUGUGAAAUCGCCCGGCUCAACUGGGCGCGGUCGGUGGAAACUGGUCAACUGGAGGACGGUAGAGGCGAGUGGAAUUCCCGGUGUAGUGGUGAAAUGCGUAGAGAUCGGGAGGAACACCAGUGGCGAAGGCGGCUCGCUGGGCCGGACCUGACGCUGAGGCGCGAAGGCGUGGGGAGCGAACGGG
rnacentral:rRNA from 1 species